GACGAACGCUGGCGGCGUGCUUAACACAUGCAAGUCGAACGAAGUGGCGAACGGGUGAGUAACGCGUAAUCAACCUGCCCUUCAGAGGGGGACAACAGUUGGAAACGACUGCUAAUACCGCAUACUGAAGGAUGGGGUUGCGUCUGAUUCGCUAGUUGGAGGGGUAAAGGCCAACCAAGGCGAUGAUCAGUAGCCGGUCUGGGAGGAGGAACGGCCACAUGGGGACUGAGAUACGGCCCAGACUCCUACGGGAGGCAGCAGUAGGGAAUCUUCCGAAAUGGACGAAAGUCUGACGGAGCAACGCCGCGUGAGUGAUGAAGGCCUUCGGGUGGUAAAGCUCUGUUAAUCGGGACGCGGUACCGAAAUAGAAAGCCACGGCUAACUACGUGCCAGCAGCCGCGGUAAUUC
rnacentral:rRNA from 1 species